rnacentral:rRNA from 1 species
AUUGAACGCUGGCGGCAUGCAUUACACAUGCAAGUCGAACGGCAGCACGGGAGCAAUCCUGGUGGCGAGUGGCGAACGGGUGAGUAAUAUAUCGGAACGUGCCCAGUCGUGGGGGAUAACGUAGCGAAAGCUACGCUAAUACCGCAUACGAUCUAUGGAUGAAAGCGGGGGAUCGCAAGACCUCGCGCGAUUGGAGCGGCCGAUAUCAGAUUAGGUAGUUGGUGAGGUAAAGGCUCACCAAGCCGACGAUCUGUAGCUGGUCUGAGAGGACGACCAGCCACACUGGGACUGAGACACGGCCCAGACUCCUACGGGAGGCAGCAGUGGGGAAUUUUGGACAAUGGGCGAAGGCCUGAUCCAGCAAUGCCGCGUGGGUGAAGAAGGCCUUCGGGUUGUAAAGCCCUUUCGGAUAGUAAGAAAACUCUUACUCUAACAUAGUGAGAGAAUGACGGUACUAUCAUAAGAAGCACCGGCUAACUACGUGCCAGCCGCCGCUGUAACAC